AUGGUUACAAAUUCUGUUAAAAUUUUCCUAGAUGUUCUUUUAUACAUAGGCUCAGCUACAAAUUUUUGUAUUUCUAAAGCAAACAAAGAUUUCUCUUUAGAUCAAAGUCAUUUCUUUUCUUUUUUCCUCUUUUUCUCCUACAGUGCACAUACGCAUAUAUCGGUAAUUUGUAUCAUACAAGAGCAUGAAUUGAGAAUGUCUAAAAGGAUUGCAGUUUCAGCCACAAUUUUAUUUGAAGACUCAUGAUCCAUGCAGCUUCCUCAUUUCACAUUAUGUAGAAAAGCCACACGGCUCAUCUGAGGUUACUGAAUUGGCGAGGAGGCACUAACUAAAAUCCAGGUGUCACAGUUUGCUGCACAACCAUCCCCUUUACAUUUGUGUGCAGGAUUACCCUGCUGUAUGAGGGUAAAACGAACACACUCUUCCUCCAGGUAAAUAACUUUAGGAUGCAUUAUCCUUAGCAGAGAAUGUUCUUCUCAUAAUACAAAUGUGACACUCAUUGUUUCUCUUUAAUAUAAAUAAUUAGACAAGAAGUCUUGAAAUAAGAAAAGGUAAAAACACAUGGGAAAAAUAUAUAUUCUUUAAUGAUGUUGUUUUGUAGAUGUUUCAUGUCUUACUUCAAGUGUGCCUAACAAAGCCUUUUCUAUUAAAUAAGGAUAAAACCAGAUGACCCUUUAAGAAGGUAACCAAUAUUAAAAGCAUCUUACCUCAUUGUUCUGGAUUGAGCACAUUCGACUAUUAUUGGAAACAACUGCCCCAUAACCACCAAAAUCACCAUUAUCCUGUUGCACAGACAUUUCAGGCUAUGUUUCCAAAGUACUUUUAAAUCAUUUUUAUUAGUUAUUACCCUGUGCUCUAGUUUUUUAAUUGGCAGACAUUGCGUCUCAGUGCCAUGUUCCUAAUUAAAUCCCCAGACUAAACUGUGAAAACUGCCCCCAUAUUUUUACACGACGUGGACGCCAUUUGAAAAGGGAAUACAUGAAUUUUAAUUAUGUUGUUCAUCUUUAUGCAAUGGAGCCAAUCACUAGAUUUUAGAAAAAUAUAUUCCACCCAAGUUUGUCUAAAAUGUUCCUACAUUGGGGUUAUUGUAUUCUACAAUUCUAUGCCUUGUGAAACAAGCUUUUUUUUUUUUUUUUUUUAAAUUCCCUUUAUUAACCUUGAGAACAUCAAGCUAUGUGAAAUAAACUUAUCACAAGAGAAGAAAUAUGUGAUCCCAUUGAUAGGAGGCUUCUAAAGUCAUCAGCUUUGUGGAAUCCAGUUCAUUCAGAAAAUAGAAUGGUGUUUCCCAGGGGUUGGGGCAGGGGGAAUGGGAAGUUGUUGUUUAAUAGGCACAGAGUCCCCAUUUUGCAAGAUGAAAAGAAUUCUGCAAGAUCAUGUUCUUUGCAGUGAUAGGGAUGGAGCUGGAGGCUAUUAUCCUAAGCAAACUAACGCAGAAACAGAAAACUAAGUACCAUAUGUUUGCACUUAUCAAUGGGAGCUAAACAAUGAGGAGGCAUGGACACAUAGAGGAUAACACCACACAAUGGAACAUUCUUGAGGGUGGGAGGUGGGAAGAGGAAAGGGAUCAGAAAAAACACCGAGCUGGUGCUAUGCUUAUUACCUGGCUGAGAAAACAAUCUGUACACCACACCCCUGUGAGCCACAGUUUACCUAUUGUAUUAGUCUAUUUCCAUGCCGCUGUAAAGAACACCCUGAGACUGGGUAAUUUAUAAAGGAAAGAGAUUUAAUUGAUUCACAGUUCUGCAUGGGUGGGGAGGCCUCGGGAAACUUACAAUCAAGAUGGAAGGUGAAGGGGAAGCAAGCACCUUCUUUACAAGGUGGCAGGAAGGAGAGGGAGAGCAGGGGAAACUGUCACUUAUAAACUAUCAGAUCUCGUGAGAACCCCCUCACUAUCACGAGAACAGCAAGGGGGAAACAAACCCCAUGAUCCAAUCACCUCCCACUGGGUCUCUCCCUGAACACCUGGGGAUUACAACUGGAGAUGGGUGGGGACAGAGACCCAAACCAUAUCACCUAAAUAACAGACCUACACAUGUAUGCCUGAGCCUAAAAUUAAAGUUAAAAGUAAAGAAGAGAGUUCUGGAGAUUUGCUUCCUCAACAAUGUGAGUGUUCUUAAUUACUACUGAACUGAACACUUUAGAAUGGUUAAAAUGGCACAUUUUAGGCUGUGUGUAUUUUACCAUAAUUAAAAAACUUUAAAAAGUUCCUUUAAACUGAUAAGUGUAUCCUCACUGUACAAAAAUAAUGUGGGGAAGCAACAGAGAAAGUGUUAUUACUUGGAGUAUUGAUUUCCAGGAGUUUGUGGUCCUGCAAGUUUGAAUAAACCCCAGUAGAAAACAUGACUAUUGCCAAGGCGGAUUCCAUGGAAUAGUUGUCAUGGUAGUAUUCCAGCAGCCACACGCUGGGUCAUAUGAAUCUAGUAGUUUCUGAGUUGAAUUUUUUUUUCCCCUUUGAGACAGGGUCUCGUCCUAUAACCCAGAGUGGAGUGUAGUGGCAUGAUCAUGGUUCACUGUAGCCUCAACCUUGUGGGCUCAGUUCAUCCUCCCGCCUCAGCCACCCGAGUAGCUGGAACUACAGGUGCACGCCACCAUCCCCAGCUAAUUUUUACAUUUUUUGUAGAGAUGAGGUUUUGCCAUGUUGCCCAGACUGGUCUGGAACUCCUGGGCUCAAGCAAUCCUCUCAAAGUGCUGGGAUUACAGGCAUGAGCCACCGCACCCUGUGGCAGUUACAUUCUUAAAGCAAGGAUUGGGAAAGAGAAUAUCGUUGAAAGGUUUCUAUCUGACUGAAAUCUUAGAACUCUUCCUAUUCGAUUUUUUCCAGUUCAGUUUCAAACUCCUGCAUGUGGAGUGAAGGGGGAAAGCGAGGUUAAUAACCACAGGAUGAUCCUUUACCAGUGAGGCCGUGAGGGAACUGGGCUUCCUGACCUGAGGAUUCAGACUUGCUCCACUUCAUUGCAAAGAAACUAGUCAUGCAUCUUCUGCCAUAGGGCUUAAUGAUUUAUCAUCUUCUGGUACUUUGUCGAGAUGACAACAGGCAUCACAUCGUUUAUUUUUCUCUAUGGAAUCCAUAUGAGGUGGAGCCGAUGGAGCACUCUGCAACCUACCUAUGCAACCUACUGCAUUGAACGAUAUCUAUUGCUUCAGACAUAAGAAUGAUUUUGCAAGAUGAAUUCGGGCUUGUUUGUAUUUGAGCUGGCAAAGAAUAGAGAAGUGUCUCUGAUGGAAAUUGCAUUUGUGCAGGGAGAGGUAACACAUGCGACUGAGUCAGGGAUCAUAAGAGCAAAUAGGUGAAAUUUCACAGUCCCUACUGGAAAUCUGGCUACACAUAUUUUAUCCUCUAAAAUCCUUCUGAGGAUUAAGUGGUAUUAUGCACUGCCUAUUGUUUUUCUCUAAAUCCUGUCUUGUAGAAGGCAAUGUCAAUAAAAUAGCACGCAGAACGGCUGGGCCAUCCUUCAUUGCCAGCUGAUCCCACAAAGCAUUUUAUGAACAUCUCAGACAAAAGAUGGUUCUAUCCUCAUGGAAUUAAAUCAAAUUAGUCCCCUCCUUAAAGCUCCCAAUGGGGAUAGCACUUACAAUGAUGGUUGAAAUGAAGGAACUCACCUAAAUCAAAUAAGGUAAUGCAUGUGAAAUGAUUCCGUAAGCUUCAACAGAUAAAUUUCAGUUAUUUGGCUAAUUUUAAUAGUAUUAUUACUACUAAAAUUACUAUUCAUAAGGCAACUUAGACCAUCCUUGAUACUUU
rnacentral:lncRNA from 1 species